rnacentral:lncRNA from 10 species
GGGGUGCACCAGGGCAGCAGCUACAGGGCUCUCCUCCCAAGCACCCAACGAGCAAGAUGGGUCUGAGGAUACCUGUGAGAAGUAAUUCAACACAUCUUUCACACAUGGGCCAAUUUGCUGGUCUAAGUUAAAUUGGAGUGACAAGGACAGCUGCUUAAAGAAGACGAGGUUUCACCGUGUUAGACAGGAUGGUUUCGAUCUCCUGACCUCGUGAUCUGCGUGCCUCGACCUCCCAAAGUGCUGGGAUUACAGGCUUGAGCCGCCACGUCCGGCCUCAGACCAUUUUUCUAGAGAUGCAAGCUACAGAUGACAGAGCCGAGGUCGUCUCCUCCAGGUCCCAGAGCUGCUAUGUGGCUGAGCUGCAGUUCAGAGCCAGGGUGACUCAGCUUGCAAGCCUGUGCUCCUCACCUCCGUGGCAUGCUUCUCCCAGGCUGGCACUGAAUCACCGGAAGGACUCCUUAAGACAUGGAUAGGGGAUCCACCCCAGAGGUCCUGAAUCAGCAAGUCUGGGGAGGAGACUGAGAAUUGACUUUUCUAUCAAGUUCCCCAGUGAUGCUGAUGCUGCUGGUGUGCGUACCACGUUCUGGAACCUCCGCUCCCUGCUCUAGGGCCUUCUGGGUGGAGCCCUAGAGCUGAGCUCCCAGCUGUGGGCAUGGCAGGCACUGAAGAGUGUUGCUUUAGGGUAAUGUGUUAACAGUCUAAGAAGGUGCGUGGUGAGUAGGCUGACCAUUUCUCUCUCUUAUUGAACAAAAUAUUGCUAAGCCCUGGAUUUUCUCAGCUGUAAAUCACUGAAAUCUGAAUAAAA